rnacentral:misc_RNA from 1 species
GAUGAAGAACGUAGCGAAAUGCGAAAAGUAAUGUGAAUUGCAGAAUUCAGUGAAUCAUCGAAUCUUAGAACGCACAUUGCGCCCGCUGGUACUCCGGCGGGCACGCCUGUCCGAGCGUCAUUUCAACCCUCAAGCCCUCCUUCGGGAUGGGCCUGGUGUUGGGGCUCGGCCGCCAUCUCCGGCGGCCGUCCCCUAAAUACAGUGGCGGUCACGUCGCGACUCCUUUGCGUAGUAGAAACACCUCGCUCCGGAUAGCAACGCGGUCCACGCCGUAAAACCCCCAAUUUUCAAUGGUUGACCUCGGAUCAGGUGGGAAUACCCGCUGAACUUAAGCAUAUCAAUAAGCGGAGGA